GCUUAUUUGGUGAAAUCGGUAAACACGAUAGACUUAAAAUCUGUUCCUAUCAGGUUGUCGGUUCAAGUCCGACAAUAAGCA
rnacentral:tRNA from 1 species